GCGAGUUAAAGGGAAGUCUUGACACGGCUGCAAAUCGUAGUCCAUUCGGUUCACGUGCACGCACCUCUGUGUGGUGUGCGUGUGUUUUGCAUAGAAAUGUUCGCAACAAGACGAGGAAAUUUUAGCUGCAUUUUUAAUUUGCAUGCGCACAAAAACCGCAAUUUGGUCAAGCACAUAACGUUUUUAAUACCCUCUAACUGCAGUGAAAAGAAAACUUCAGCCAAACUAUACUCUAUAGACUGUCGCCCUGUUUCAGAGUCGCAUGAAAAAUUCACGAACAGAUUCCGCCUGGUGCGCACAUUUAAAAUGCACUUUGCCGCUGGAGAAAUAUUCAAAAUAGAAAUGUGAGGGAAAAUAUUUUUAGCGAUAUAGCGAAAUGCACGCUGCAAGUGAAUGCUUUAAAGUGCAUCAAUUUAAUAAUGCAAACAUGCAGCAAGUUGCAUUAACUUUUGCCGCGCAGGCGGCAUUAAAAUUUGCAUAAUUGCUGCGAGUCA